AAGUUCGAGAAGCGGACCAUGUCUGCUCAGGUGGAGGGUGGCGUGCAUGGACUUCACUCUUAUGAGAAACGUCUUUACUAAUGGAGCAUGCAGAACACGGAUGGGAAACAGCGACCAAACACCUCAGACAAUUCCUAGAACUUACCCCACCCUGCCAGAAC